AUACUUACCUGACAGGGGAGACACCAUGAUCAGGCAGGUGAUUUUCCCAGGGCGAGGAUCAUUCUCUGCACUCUGAGUGUGCUGACCCCUGCGAUUUUCCCAAAUGUGGAAAACUCGACUGUUACAGC
rnacentral:snRNA from 1 species